rnacentral:rRNA from 1 species
ACGCUGGCGGCAGGCCUAACACAUGCAAGUCGAGCGGUAGAGAGAAGCUUGCUUCUCUUGAGAGCGGCGGACGGGUGAGUAAUGCCUAGGAAUCUGCCUGGUAGUGGGGGAUAACGUUCGGAAACGGACGCUAAUACCGCAUACGUCCUACGGGAGAAAGCAGGGGACCUUCGGGCCUUGCGCUAUCAGAUGAGCCUAGGUCGGAUUAGCUAGUUGGUGGGGUAAUGGCUCACCAAGGCGACGAUCCGUAACUGGUCUGAGAGGAUGAUCAGUCACACUGGAACUGAGACACGGUCCAGACUCCUACGGGAGGCAGCAGUGGGGAGUAUUGGACAAUGGGCGAAAGCCUGAUCCAGCCAUGCCGCGUGUGUGAAGAAGGUCUUCGGAUUGUAAAGCACUUUAAGUUGGGAGGAAGGGUUGUAGAUUAAUACUCUGCAAUUUUGACGUUACCGACAGAAUAAGCACCGGCUAACUCUGUGCCAGCAGCCGCGGUAAUACAGAGGGUGCAAGCGUUAAUCGGAAUUACUGGGCGUAAAGCGCGCGUAGGUGGUUUGUUAAGUUGGAUGUGAAAUCCCCGGGCUCAACCUGGGAACUGCAUUCAAAACUGACUGACUAGAGUAUGGUAGAGGGUGGUGGAAUUUCCUGCGUAGCGGUGAAAUACGUAGAUAUAGGAAGGAACACCAGUGGCGAAGGCGACCACCUGGACUAAUACUGACACUGAGGUGCGAAAGCGUGGGGAGCAAAC